AGCGUGUGGGCACCACCA
rnacentral:sRNA from 1 species